UGCUGAAAACUUGAUCGACCACCCGAUCCACUCAUCAGUCGCGUCAUUCCUCAUCUUGCAACCAAGCGACAUGCGCUCCUCUCGCGCAUAACAGCACCUCACCACACCGUACAAGACCCAAUCUAAGGCCUCGUCAGGGGCUUGCAAGUCACAAGACUAUACAACCUCGAACAUUCUCAAUCGAAGGCCCCGCACUAAACAAUCGGCCUUCCUUCCAUCGCCUCACACCAAGUAUGAAAUGUAACUCGGCAUAUGGAAGGACUCGUCUCUACACCCCAUCACUAAGCGGUCACUCUAUCGCAACUUCCAGAACCU
rnacentral:lncRNA from 1 species